GUGAGGAAUAUUGGUCAAUGGACGGAAGUCUGAACCAGCCAUGCCGCGUGCAGGAAUAAGGUCCUAUGGAUUGUAAACUGCUUUUAUUCGGGAAUAAACCUCUUUACGUGUAGGGAGCUGAAGGUACCGAAGGAAUAAGCACCGGCUAACUCCGUGCCAGCAGCCGCGGUAAUACGGAGGGUGCAAGCGUUAUCCGGAAUCAUUGGGUUUAAAGGGUCCGCAGGCGGGCUAUCAAGUCAGAGGUGAAAUCCCACAGCUUAACUGUGGAACUGCCUUUGAAACUGAUGGUCUUGAAUUAAGUGGGCGUUGGCGGAAUAUGACAUGUAGCGGUGAAAUGCUUAGAUAUGUUAUAGAACACCGAUAGCGAAGGCAGCUCACAAGGCCAUUAUUGACGCUCAUGGACGAAAGCGUGGGGAGCAAACAGGAUUAGAAACCCUGGUAGUCC
rnacentral:rRNA from 1 species